rnacentral:rRNA from 1 species
CGUUAAGCAAAUCCCAGAAAUAACGUCCCAGUUCGGAUUGUAGUCUGCAACCCGACUACAUGAAGCUGGAAUCGCUAGUAAUCGCGAAUCAGAAUGUCGCGGUGAAUACGUUCCCGGGUCUUGUACACACCGCCCGUCACACCAUGGGAGUCGGAAAUGCCCGAAGUCAGUGACCCAACCGUAAGGAGGGAGCUGCCGAAGGUGGAGCCGGUAACUGGGGUGAAGUCGUAACAAGGUACC